GGCAGUCGAGCGGACAGAUGGGAGCUUGCUCCCCUGAUGUUAGCGGCGGACGGGUGAGUAACACGUGGGUAACCUGCCUGUAAGACUGGGAUAACUCCGGGAAACCGGGGCUAAUACCGGAUGGUUGUUUGAACCGCAUGGUUCAAACAUAAAAGGUGGCUUCGGCUACCACUUACAGAUGGACCCGCGGCGCAUUAGCUAGUUGGUGAGGUAACGGCUCACCAAGGCAACGAUGCGUAGCCGACCUGAGAGGGUGAUCGGCCACACUGGGACUGAGACACGGCCCAGACUCCUACGGGAGGCAGCAGUAGGGAAUCUUCCGCAAUGGACGAAAGUCUGACGGAGCAACGCCGCGUGAGUGAUGAAGGUUUUCGGAUCGUAAAGCUCUGUUGUUAGGGAAGAACAAGUACCGUUCGAAUAGGGCGGUACCUUGACGGUACCUAACCAGAAAGCCACGGCUAACUACGUGCCAGCAGCCGCGGUAAUACGUAGGUGGCAAGCGUUGUCCGGAAUUAUUGGGCGUAAAGGGCUCGCAGGCGGUUUCUUAAGUCUGAUGUGAAAGCCCCCGGCUCAACCGGGGAGGGUCAUUGGAAACUGGGGAACUUGAGUGCAGAAGAGGAGAGUGGAAUUCCACGUGUAGCGGUGAAAUGCGUAGAGAUGUGGAAGAACASCAUUGGCGAAGGSGACUCUCUGGUCUGUAACUGACGCUGAGGARCGAAAACGWGCGGAGCGMGCACGAKUACAUACGCUGGUAGUCCACKCCGUACACG
rnacentral:rRNA from 1 species